AGUAUGGUGAGGUUGAGAGGAUGGAGAGUUGAGUAGUUCCAGAAGAAAAAGAGUGGGACCAAAAAAUAUGAAUUGUGAUGCUCUAAAUAUAUAGGGUGCAGGUUCAGAUUGAAUGGAGGAUUGGAGUUAGGCUAGGAGUUUUUAGAUUAAACUCACUGAGUUGAUCACAAACUCGGUUAGUUAUUGGAUAUUCACUCAGUUAGUUAUAGGACUUAGGUUUGUCCCAUUGAUGAAUGAUUGGCCUACUGAAUUUAUAAGGGAGUGAGUUAACAGAAGGGUCCAAACUCAGUUAAUCAGUUAGUUCAACUAAAUUCAGAGUUGGUUAGGAUCUAACUCUGUUGGUUAAUUAGAAUGAAAGUUAGUAUGGUGUGAAUUUUUUUGUUAUUGGCUGGGAUUCUCUUGUUUUGUUAACCAUUUAAAUGUUAAAUGAAAAAGGAGUAUUGAAUGUUGUCUCUUUGGUUUUGGAGUUAUCGCUCGCAGCUGGUUUGUGUUACCGGUCGCCGCAUUGUCUGACUUGGUUUCUCUCGUAUGCCCGCAGGAUGGUUGUUACUUGCGAUAAGCGGUUGUUAGGUUGGUGACUCACUUCAUGGUGGAUUCGAACUUCGGCAUGUUGUGAAAGCUUUAACCUUCAACAGUGAAUUGACUGCUAUGUCCAGAAUUAGUGUGGCAUCCCGUAGAGGAAUUCAGCUUCAAUCUAGUAUCUUUUUCUUUGGGUCAAGAUGGUCACCAUUACCUUGAGAGCUUCCAGGUAAAGAGUUUCACGUAAGGGAAGGUCGAGUAUCAGUUGAAAGCAACGAGUCCCUAACAAGGUCAUCAGAAGCAUUCCUUUCCGCCGGAGUCUCUGCAUUUCUGGAUGGACCAUUGUUCUUUAGCGACGCAAGUUCAAUACCGGUAGCAAAAGGAUCUAAACGCCUGGAGAGAUGAUCAUAUGCAGCUUAUGGAUCCUCUGCUUUGAGCUGCAUCAACCCCCUUUGUUAGUCUUGGUCUUAUUAAUUACCACAGAAUUCGUUCCUUCAUUGGCUAAAUUUGGAACAGGUCGUAUUACAGUACAUGCAAGAAGCUCUCUGACGGUAUAUUGAAAGAAAGAACACUGCAAAUCCUCUGACCCGAAAGUGGCGGACAUGAAACCAUGCAUAGGAUGCUGUAAAACAUUAUGCUCAGCUUCAGAAGAGGAUAAAGUAGGAUGCAAUUUGCUUUUUGUAGUUGACAUAGUUUUUUAGUUAUGUAUCUCGAUUUCCAAUCGUUAAUGAACCUGUAUGUUCUUUUUCAUUCUUGGAGAUACAAGCAUGGAAUAACUCCAACUGAAUGCCAUCGAUCCAAUUUAUUUU
rnacentral:lncRNA from 1 species